rnacentral:rRNA from 1 species
UACGUAGGGUGCAAGCGUUAAUCGGAAUUACUGGGCGUAAAGCGUGCGCAGGCGGUUGUGCAAGUCAGACGUGAAAUCCCCGGGCUCAACCUGGGAACUGCAUCUGUGACUGCAUAGCUAGAGUACGGUAGAGGGGGAUGGAAUUCCGCGUGUAGCAGUGAAAUGCGUAGAUAUGCGGAGGAACACCGAUGGCGAAGGCAAUCCCCUGGACCUGUACUGACGCUCAUGCACGAAAGCGUGGGGAGCAAACAGG